GACAGAGGGUGCAAACGUUGUUCGGAAUUACUGGGCGUAAAGCGUGUGUAGGCGGUCCACUAAGUCGGGUGUGAAAGCCCCGGGCUUAACCUGGGAAUGGCCAUGGAAACUGGCGAACUGGAGUGUGGCAGAGGGGGGUGGAAUUCCGCGUGUAGCAGUGAAAUGCGUAGAUAUUGGGAGGAACACCGGUGGCGAAGGCGGCCCCCUGGACCGGUACUGACGCUGAGGCGCGAAAGCGUGGGUAGCAAACGGG
rnacentral:rRNA from 1 species